GUCCGUAUCGAUUAGUGGUUAAAUCAUCUCGUUGUGGCGCGUUUACGCACUUCCAGCUCCGUGAAGCCGCAGGCUCGAAUCCUGCUACGGACA